GCCGGCAUAGCUCAGUGGUAGAGCAGGGGUUUUGUAAACCUCAGGUCGGGGGUUCGAAUCCCUCUGUCGGCU
rnacentral:tRNA from 1 species